rnacentral:rRNA from 1 species
UACGUAGGGUGCAAGCGUUGUCCGGAAUUAUUGGGCGUAAAGAGCUCGUAGGCGGUCUGUCGCGUCUGCUGUGAAAACUCAGGGCUUAACCCUGAGCUUGCAGUGGGUACGGGCAGACUAGAGUACUGCAGGGGAGACUGGAAUUCCUGGUGUAGCGGUGGAAUGCGCAGAUAUCAGGAGGAACACCGGUGGCGAAGGCGGGUCUCUGGGCAGUAACUGACGCUGAGGAGCGAAAGCGUGGGGAGCGAACAGG